rnacentral:rRNA from 1 species
AUUGAACGCUGGCGGCAGGCCUAACACAUGCAAGUCGAACGAGUGGCGGACGGGUGAGUAAUGUCUGGGAAACUGCCCGAUGGAGGGGGAUAACUACUGGAAACGGUAGCUAAUACCGCAUACCAUCGGAUGUGCCCAGCUGGGAUUAGCUAGUAGGGGGGGUAACGGCUCACCGAGGCGACGAUCCCUAGCUGGUCUGAGAGGCUGACCAGCAAUACUGGAACUGAUACACGGUCCAGAUUCCUACGUGAGGCAGCGGUGGGGAAUAUUGAACAAUGGGCGCAAGCCUGAUGCAGCCAUGCCGCGUGUAUGAAGAAGGCCUUCGGGUUGGAAAGUACUUUCAGCGAGGAGGCGUUACUCGCAGAAGAAGCACCGGCUAACUCCGUGCCAGCAGCCGCGGUAAUAC